UACGUAGGAGGCGAGCGUUGUCCGGAAUUACUGGGCGUAAAGAGCGCGUAGGUGGCGCGAUACGACCGGUGUGAAAUCCUCCGGCUCAACUGGAGGGGGUCACUGGUAACGGUCGUGCUGAUGAGUGCAGGAGAGGGACGUGGAACUCCGGGAGUAGCGGUGAAAUGCGUAGAGAUUGGAAAGAACACCGAUGGCGAAGGCACUUUACUGGGCUAAUUACUAACACUCAGAGACGAAAGCUAGGGUAGCAAAUGGG
rnacentral:rRNA from 1 species